GCUUUCAACAUCCCCGUUUCGGAUCUGAGCGAAGCGACAGGUGAUUCCACCUGCUGCGAGCAGCUGUCCGGAGCUGAAGGC
rnacentral:sRNA from 12 species